UAGGUGUAACACCACUAAUUCGGGCCCGGCCAGAAAGCACAUACCAGAAAGUAGUACAUAUUUAACACAAAAUAGUUCCUACGCAUGAGUGUAACUUUCAAAAUAUGUAGAAUAUUUAGGUAUUUUUGGUAUCAAAUGACAGCUGAAGGACUGGUGAUCAUUGUAGAACACUUUUGGACUUUUAAUUUUGAAUAUUAAAAACACUGCACCAAAUUUUAAAAAGAGGGUACAUUUUGUCUGUUUGUCAGAUUUGAUGUACCUGUUUUGGUACAUCUGAAAUUCUGGGAACCAUUUCUUUCUUAUAUGCCAUUAAAGGUAUGUUGAUUUUUUCAGUACAAGACACCAUAAAGUGUUGCUUUGAAAUGCAAUGAUUGCCACUUUAUUUGAACUUAAAACAAAAGAGGUGUGCCUGCUUGAAACAGAGGAAUUUAACAUAGAAAGCAAUGGGACCAUGAAUUAGUGGUGUACUUCCUCUACCCCUUUAACAAAAUCAAGAUAUUUUUCAUUGAAAUAAAAUGCAGUAUGAAUCAUGUCUCAUUUUUGACUUUAGGAAAAAGGGUUUUUAUUAAUUUCUGAAUUUACAGUAGAUGUAACUUUUU
rnacentral:lncRNA from 1 species